AUUGAACGCUGGCGGCGUGCUUAACACAUGCAAGUCGAGCGGUAACAGGCGUAGCAAUACGUGCUGACGAGCGGCGAACGGGUGCGUAAUACAUGGGAAUCUGCCCUUUGGUGGGGAAUAACCCGGCGAAAGCCGGGCUAAUGCCGCAUGAGAUCUUCGGAUGAAAGCGGGGGAUCGUAAGACCUCGCGCCGAUGGAUGAGCCCAUGUCGGAUUAGCUAGUUGGUGAGGUAGCGGCUCACCAAGGCGACGAUCCGUAGCUGGUUUGAGAGGACGGCCAGGCACACUGGGACUGAGACACGGCCCAGACUCCUACGGGAGGCAGCAGUGGGGAAUAUUGGACAAUGGGCGAAAGCCUGAUUCAGCGACGCCGCGUGUGUGAAGAAGGCCUGCGGGUUGUAAAGCACUUUCGAUGGGAACGAAAUGUGCCGGGCUAAUACCCCGGCAAGCUGACGUUACUCAAUGAAGAAGCACCGGCUAACUCUGUGCCAGCCGCCGCCGUAAAAC
rnacentral:rRNA from 1 species